rnacentral:rRNA from 1 species
AUUGAACGCUGGCGGCAGGCUUAACACAUGCAAGUCGAGCGGUAACAGAGAGUAGUUUACUAUUCUGCUGACGAGCGGCGGACGGGUGAGUAAUGCCUAGGAAUCUGCCUAGUAGUGGGGGAUAACUUGCCGAAAGGUAAGCUAAUACCGCAUACGUCCUACGGGAGAAAGGAGGGGACUCUUCGGAGCCUUUCGCUAUUAGAUGAGCCUAGGUCGGAUUAGUUAGUUGGUGAGGUAAUGGCUCACCAAGACCGCGAUCCGUAACUGGUCUGAGAGGAUGAUCAGUCACACUGGAACUGAGACACGGUCCAGACUCCUACGGGAGGCAGCAGUGGGGAAUAUUGGACAAUGGGGGAAACCCUGAUCCAGCCAUGCCGCGUGUGUGAAGAAGGUCUUAGGAUUGUAAAGCACUUUAAGUUGGGAGGAAGGGCAGUUAACUAAUAUUUGACUGUUUUGACGUUACCGACAGAAUAAGCACCGGCUAACUUCGUGCCAGCAGCC